rnacentral:rRNA from 1 species
AGCUCCAAAAGCGUAUACUAAAUUUGCUGCAGUUAAAACGCUCGUAGUUGAAUUGAGAUUUGUGUAUGAAUUGGACGUGAAUCACGAUACAAUACUGACACAAUUCCCUUUUAAGAUUCUCUUCUGGUAUUAAUUUAUUGGAUGAGUCAAUCUUAAACCUUUACUGUGAAUAAACUAGAGUGUUCAAAGCAGGCAAUUUGUCAUUGACAAAGAAUAGCCUGAAUACGUUAGCAUGGAAUAAUAAGAUAAGACCAUGGUUUGUCAUUCUUUGGAUGGCAUACUUGUCUUGUUGGUUUGCAGCUAACCAUGGUAAUGAUUAAUAGGGACAGUUGGGGGUAUUCGUAUUCCAGAGUCAGAGGUGAAAUUCUUGGAUUUCUGGAAGACGAACUACUGCGAAAGC